AACGAACGCUGGCGGCAGGCCUAACACAUGCAAGUCGAACGAAGUCUUCGGACUUAGUGGCGCACGGGUGCGUAACGCGUGGGAAUCUACCCUUAGGUGCGGAAUAACAGUUAGAAAUGACUGCUAAUACCGCAUAAUGACUCCGGUCCAAAGAUUUAUCGCCUAAGGAUGAGCCCGCGUAAGAUUAGCUAGUUGGUGAGGUAAAAGCUCACCAAGGCGACGAUCUUUAGCUGGUCUGAGAGGAUGAUCAGCCACACUGGGACUGAGACACGGCCCAGACUCCUACGGGAGGCAGCAGUGGGGAAUAUUGGACAAUGGGCGAAAGCCUGAUCCAGCCAUGCCGCGUGAGUGAUGAAGGCCUUAGGGUUGUAAAGACUCUUUUACCUAGGGAUGAUAAUGACAGUACCU
rnacentral:rRNA from 1 species